rnacentral:rRNA from 1 species
CCCUUAGAUGUUCUGGGCCGCACGCGUGCUACACUGACCGGCGCAACAAGCUUUUUUCCUUGGCUCGACAGGCCUGGGUAAUCUUCGAACGCCGGUCGUGAUGGGGAUAGAUCCUUGCAAUUUUUGAUCUUCAACGAGGAAUUCCUAGUAAAUGCGAGUCAUCAUCUCGCGUUGAUUACGUCCCUGCCCUUUGUACACACCGCCCGUCGCACCUACCGAUUGAAUGGUCCGGUGAAAAUUUCGGACAGUGACGAUGCUGGCGGUCCGCCGCCGGCGCUGUCGCUGGAAGAUCUUUAAACCUUAUCAUUUAGAGGAAGGAGAAGUCGUAACA